rnacentral:rRNA from 1 species
UACGUAGGGCGCAAGCGUUAUCCGGAAUUAUUGGGCGUAAAGAGCUCGUAGGCGGUGUGUCGCGUCGGCCGUGAAAACCUGCAGCUUAACUGUGGGCUUGCGGUCGAUACGGGCAUCACUGGAGUUCGGCAGGGGAGACUGGAAUUCCUGGUGUAGCGGUGGAAUGCGCAGAUAUCAGGAAGAACACCCGUGGCGAAGGCGGCUCUCUGGGACGGUACUGACGCUGAGACGCGAAAGCGUGGGGAGCGAACAGG